UUUAAAUGCAAGAAUAAAUUUUCGUGCCUAACUUUAAUCGUCGUCUUAUUUAAUUUUUUUAAAUUAAUACUUUUAUUGUUAUGAGAUGAUAAAAUAUGAAUAAUACUUUUUACGUAACUUAUGUUUUUUUAACUUUUUUAAGAAAAACUUUUUAAAUAAAAUGGACGGUUAAAUGUGUACAUGAAAAAUCAUGACUGUAUUUAAA
rfam:Oryza glumipatula chromosome 4, whole genome shotgun sequence.